rnacentral:rRNA from 1 species
GACGAACGCUGGCGGCGUGCCUAAUACAUGCAAGUAGAACGCACAGUUUAUACCGUAGCUUGCUACACCAUAGACUGUGAGUUGCGAACGGGUGAGUAACGCGUACGUAACCUGCCUGGUAGCGGGGGAUAACUAUUGGAAACGAUAGCUAAUACCGCAUAAUAUUAAUUAUUGCAUGAUAAUUAAUUGAAAGGUGCAAUUGCACCACUACCAGAUGGACCUGGGUUGUAUUAGCUAGUAGGUGAGGUAACGGCUCACCUAGGCGACGAUACAUAGCCGACCUGAGAGGGGGAUAGGCCAAGCUGGGACUGAGACACGGCCCAGAAUCCUACGGGAGGCAGCAGUAGGGAAUCUUUGGCAAUGGACGAAAGUCUGACCGAGCCACGCCGCGUGAGUGAAGAAGGUUUUCGGAUCGUAAAGCGCUGUUGUAAGAGAAGAACGGGAGUGAGAGUGGAAAGUUCACACUGUGACGGUAUCUUACCAGAAAGGGACGGCUAACUACGUG